AUUGAACGCUGGCGGCAUGCUUUACACAUGCAAGUCGAACGGCAGCACGGGGGCAACCCUGGUGGCGAGUGGCGAACGGGUGAGUAAUAUAUCGGAACAUGUCCGGAAGUGGGGGAUAACGUAGCGAAAGUUACGCUAAUACCGCAUAUGCCCUGAGGGGGAAAGGGGGGGAUCGCAAGACCUCUCGCUUUCGGAGUGGCCGAUAUCAGAUUAGCUAGUUGGUGGGGUAGAGGUCUACCAAGGCAACGAUCUGUAGCCGGUCUGAGAGGAGGACCAGCCACACUGGGACUGAGACACGGCCCAGACUCCUACGGGAGGCAGCAGUGGGGAAUUUUGGACAAUGGGGGCAACCCUGAUCCAGCCAUGCCGCGUGAGUGAAGAAGGCCUUCGGGUUGUAAAGCUCUUUCGGACAGAAAGAAAUCGUGCAGAAUAAUACUCUGUAUGGAUGACGGUACUGUAAGAAGAAGCACCGGCUAACUACGUGCCAGCAGCCGCAGUAA
rnacentral:rRNA from 1 species